GUGGAUUAGAUACCCGAGUAGUCCACGCCGUAAACGAUGAGCGCUAGUCGUCGCGGGUAUUGACCCCUGCGGCAACGAAGUUAACGCAUUAAGCGCUCCGCCUGGGGAGUACGGCCGCAAGGCUAAAACUCAAAGGAAUUGACGGGGGCCCGCACAAGCGGUGGAGCAUGUGGUUCAAUUCGACGCAACGCGCAGAACCUUACCUGGGUUAAAUCCACCGGAAACCUGCAGAGAUGUGGGCGUGCCCGCAAGGGAGCCGGUGAGAAGGUGCUGCAUGGUCGUCGACAGCU
rnacentral:rRNA from 1 species